rnacentral:rRNA from 1 species
UACAGAGGUCCCAAGCGUUGUUCGGAUUCAUUGGGCGUAAAGGGUGCGUAGGUGGCGCCGUAAGUCGGGUGUGAAAUUUCGGAGCUUAACUCCGAAACUGCAUUCGAUACUGCGGUGCUUGAGGACUGGAGAGGAGACUGGAAUUCAUGGUGUAGCAGUGAAAUGCGUAGAUAUCGUAAGGAAGACCAGUGGCGAAGGCGGGUCUCUGGACAGUUCCUGACGCUGAGGCACGAAGGUCAGGGGAGCAAACGGG